rnacentral:rRNA from 1 species
CCUUGCACAGNAAACUGCUUCAGUGGCCGAUCCCCUCUGAGCUCAGAAGCUAAGCACGGACAGGACCGGUUAGUACUGGCUUGGGACACUCACUGGCAAUUGCGAGCCAUAGGCCAGGA